GGCGCCCGCAGCCUUGGGCCUGGGAGAGGCAAAAGGCCUGCUGGCACCUCUGGCCUGACCGUACCCAGAGACUGGAUCACAUGCUCCUGCUCCAUGCCUGCCUCCCCAGCGGAAUGGAAGCAAUUCCUCCUUGGACCCUAUGAUAGGCUGCAGAGGGGCACGGCUCAGUGAGCAUUUGUUGAGUGCCUGACUGACUACCCUGCUGAAUGAAUAAGUGAAUGAAUGAAUGACCACACCUGUCUGGAAAGCUCCUGAGGGCAAAGCCUGGGCCUCAUCCUCUUGUGGAUCCAGGAGAGCAGUCGCUGAAGAGAAAGAGGAAGAAAAGGAGUGGCUAGAAAAGAAAGUUUAUUUCCACUGCAGGAAGCACUGCCUCCCAUCUGAGAAAUGUCCCAAGCAGGAAUCAGUGCUGCGAUGAACUUAUGAGUGAAUGCAUCAAAAAGACCAAGUUGAACUUAUGAGCGAAUGCAUCAAAAAGACCAAGACUUGAUCCCUUGCCCACAAAGAUACAAGGCUGAGGACAAAGCCAUGAAGGAAAAGCCUCACUGAAGAAGAGGAACCUAAGAGAAGCAGGUUCUGCUCUGAUGAACUCCCAUAAAGGCAUUCCCAUAAAGGUGUGGGCCUGAGUGAUAAUCUAGAUAUGGUACAGUUGACAUCAGGUAUAUGGCGGCAGCCAGAAAUUCAACUUUGUCCAUCAGCUCUCUGCACAACAGGAAAGAUGGUGACCUUCCAGGCUUAUCUGAGGUCCAAGAGUAACAUCACAAACACAGUAACUACACCCAGCCAAAGAAAAGCAUACCUGAAUCCAAGAGAGUAUUUACACUGGCUUCAGGGAUGAGGAAAUAAAGGAGUAAGUGAUUAGGA